rnacentral:tRNA from 1 species
GGGGUUGUAGCUCAGUGGUGGAGCGCUCACCUAGCAUGUGUGAGACCCUGGGCUCGAUCCUCAGCACCACA